UUAAGGUCUGUCCCCCUCCCUUUCCUUAGUAUCUAUUAGUUUGAGUUCUCGGAGAGAACUGGCUAAUUUGGGGAUUUUCUUCCUUGUUUAAAAUUCUCGGCACAAGCAGUGAUGUGGCAAUGUACUAUCGUGUGUUGAUGAUGCAUCGGUGUCUCAUAAUUAUUCAUGAGCCUUUGUGUUUUUAUCCUGUGGGAAGAAGCGUUCUCUUAACGAUUCAUGACGGCACAUGGAGCUUUCCUACAGAUGUAGUGGGAAAGCUAUGAGAAUUGGAGAAAGGUGGACUUCGGAUUUGCUCGUGAAAGCAGUUUGUGUCUACGCAACGAUGAGGUACUCGGUCCCGAGGACUUUUCCAUCCCUUCAAAUGAGUCGUGUUCGAGUCCUUCAGUCGUCCUCGGUGUGAAAAGACGGAUCUGAACAUCGUAUCGACGCUCCUGGAAAAGGGCUCAAAUAUGCAGAAGAUGCUGGAAAAGUAAACCAAGUAACAUCAUGACUCUAAACACAGUAAUCAAUUGCAUGUAUUCCAUUACAGUCCACCACUGAAUCUCUGAAAUCAUGGCUCUGCGUAGAGAAAUGAACGCUCAGAUGUUUUUUUUUUUUUUUUUUUUUUUUUUUUUGUCGCAUGUUAAUGUUGAAGCAGGGUUCGAUUUUAGCUCCCAUCUCAUCUCACACCCUGCCGUCACUGUCUGAUUCGCUGACGCGCAGAAAGAACUCGGGAAGUAGCACAGAAGCAGAAUUCCCAAAGACAAAAACAGGCUUGUCUAUUAAAGCUUUACGUCUAGUUGUGUGUUCAUGUGUUUUAUUAACGACCCACUGAGCAGCUGGUGUGAUGAAUAAACAAUGCUGAUGUACCCAGAAUGCAAUUCCUCUCAGUGCUUUGGGUGACGAAAAACAAACGCAUCCAUGAUGCAUGAUGUGGCGCAUCCCCCAUGAGGAAGCAGGAAGUGAGCUGUGAGGCAAUGCCUCCGGACAAAGAUCUGCUCUCAUCAUCCGCUACGCGAAGUCCCAGAAAAAGAACUGUCGAGAUGAGAGAGCACGCGAGCGCAAACAAACACACCCUUCUCCAUCUAAAAUGAAUAAAAGAAAAUGAU
ensembl:lncRNA